rnacentral:rRNA from 1 species
GACGAACGCUGGCGGCGUGCUUAACACAUGCAAGUCGAGCGGUAAGGCCCCUUCGGGGGUCCACGAGCGGCGAACGGGUGAGUAACACGUGAGCAAUCUGCCCAUCACAUCGCGAUAACUCCGGGAAACCGAAGCUAAUACCGAAUACGACCACCUCCGGCAUCGGAUGGUGGGGGAAAUUUCCGGCGGUGAUGGAUGAGCUCGCGGCCUAUCAGCUUGUUGGUGGGGUAGCGGCCCACCAAGGCUACGACGGGUAGCCGGCCUGAGAGGGUGACCGGCCACGCUGGGACUGAGACACGGCCCAGCCUCCUACGGGAGGCAGCAGUGGGGAAUAUUGGAUAAUGGGCGAAAGCCUGAUCCAGCAACGCCGCGUGAGGGAUGACGGCCUUCGGGUUGUAUUCCUCUUUCAGCAGGGACGAAGCGCAAGUGACGGUACCUGCAGAAGAAGCACCGGCCAACUACGUG